GUUAACGAUUGUGCAGCUAAUGGUUUUUACUAAACAAAAAAACAAGCAGGAAAAUUUUUCAUCAAUCAUAAAUAUAGAAUUUCAUCUCAACUUGGUUCUUCAAUUUAAGAACAAACAGUACUAUCUAAGUUAUGAAAAUUCCUCAGAAGACUCGAUAUGCCUUCCCCAUUGUACUCUUCAGGUACAAGCACCUCACGUUUUGCCAAUUCUUUUUCAACAAGGAAACAAGGAAAUUGACACUCAUUUGAACGUUCUGGAAAACUUGUUUCUCUUCCAUGGCCACAUUGCCUACGGCCACACCCAUACAAAGAACCUUCUUCAAUUGGAACUUAACCAUUGCCUUAGUCUCAUUU
rnacentral:misc_RNA from 1 species